rnacentral:lncRNA from 1 species
CCAGAAGAGGAGACAAGGCCGAACUUGAAGGUUUGUGUUUUUGUUGAGCAAUUCAUUUAAAUUGUUAAUGAGCUAAUAUUCUUAUGACUUGGAGUGAGAAAUUAUUGGUUUGAUCCGGACAGGAGAAGCCAUGAUAUCCGGAUUUACUUAAUAUAAUGAUCCAAACUCGAGUGCAGGAAUGUCAUUGAGUAGCAUGGUUGUCUGUAGG